AUUGAACGCUGGCGGCAUGCCUUACACAUGCAAGUCGGACGGCAGCGCGGGCUUCGGCCUGGCGGCGAGUGGCGAACGGGUGAGUAAGACAUCGGAACGUGUCCUGGAGUGGGGGAUAGCCCGGCGAAAGCCGGAUUAAUACCGCAUACGCUCUGAGGAGGAAAGCGGGGGAUCUUCGGACCUCGCGCUCAAGGGGCGGCCGAUGGCAGAUUAGCUAGUUGGUGGGGUAAAGGCCUACCAAGGCGACGAUCUGUAGCUGGUUCGAGAGGACGAGCAGCAACACUGGGACUGAGACACGGCCCAGACUCCUACGGGAGGCAGCAGUGGGGAAUUUUGGACAAUGGGGGCAACCCUGAUCCAGCAAUGCCGCGUGUGUGAAGAAGGCCUUCGGGUUGUAAAGCACUUUUGUCCGGAAAGAAAUCCUGAUGGCGAAUAACUGUCGGGGAUGACGGUACCGGAAGAAUAAGCACCGGCUAACUACGUGCCAGCCGCCGCAGUAA
rnacentral:rRNA from 1 species